UGGCAGGCACCUGUAAUUCCAGCUACUCGGGAGGCUGAGGCAGAAGAAUUGAGCUUUUCCAAAGGGCUGGUAUUUCAGUUGUGCAACUGUAACUGCUCCAUGGCAAUAGAAAAGAUUUAUUUUUUGGACCCGAAUCAACCCUCAGCUCCAUUUCUCAAACUCCAGCUACAUCACAAGAUGUCAGCAUCAUGCAAUAUUAGCGGUUGGUCAAAGGUGCUAGUGGCAUUUUGCAGAAGUAAUGAAGAACCCAUAUUGUCUAAGAUUGCUUUGUUAUGCCUUCUGCCCUGAGCCCUGCUCAACCUU
rnacentral:lncRNA from 1 species